GGGGGUGACGUGGUUUCGACUGUGAGAGUCGAAGCGCCGGAAGCGAGCCGAGGUCCCCGGAGUCCUCGCUAAAGAACCGGGAAACACAUACGUGCCGAAGACAACUUCGCACUGGCUGCCUAAAUAGCGGCCCGUCCGACCGGAGGGCUCCCCCCUCGCCGGACCCGGGCGACGCAAUGGGGGAUGCUCCUGCCGGGGUGCCGGGACCGGCAGGUCAAGACGAUUCCGGCCUAGGGGGCAGGUCCGCCCGCCGAUAGGGUCCUGCCUUCCGAAACUCACUAUCGGCUGCGCUCGGAGAACCGGCGUCGAGAGCUCACAGGACCGGGGUUCGACUCCCCGCACCUCCACGA
rnacentral:tmRNA from 1 species